AUCAGUGGCUCAGAUUGAACGCUGGCGGCAUGCCUUACACAUGCAAGUCGAACGAGACCUUCGGGUCUAGUGGCGCACGGGUGCGUAACGCGUGGGAACCUGCCUUUAGGUUCGGAAUAACUCAGAGAAAUUUGAGCUAAUACCGGAUAAUGUCUUCGGACCAAAGAUUUAUCGCCUUUAGAUGGGCCCGCGUUGGAUUAGCUAGUUGGUGGGGUAAAGGCCUACCAAGGCGACGAUCCAUAGCUGGUCUGAGAGGAUGAUCAGCCACACUGGGACUGAGACACGGCCCAGACUCCUACGGGGAGGCAGCAGUGGGGAAUAUUGGACAAUGGGGCGAAAGCCUGAUCCAGCAAUGCCGCGUGAGUGAUGAAGGCCUUAGGGUUGUAAAGCUCUUUUACCCGAGAUGAUAAUGACAGUAUCGGGAGAAUAAGCUCCGGCUAACUCCGUG
rnacentral:rRNA from 1 species